CCCUUAGAUGUUCUGGGCCGCACGCGCGCUACACUGACUACUUCAACGAGUUGUUUCCUUGAUCGAAAGGUCUGGGUAAUCUUUGAAAGGUAGUCGUGAUGGGGAUAGAUCCUUGCAAUUUUUGAUCUUCAACGAGGAAUUCCUAGUAAACGCAAGUCAUCAGCUUGCAUUGAUUACGUCCCUGCCCUUUGUACACACCGCCCGUCGCACCUACCGAUUGAAUGGUCCGGUGAAUCUUUAGGACUGUGGCUGGGGCCUUGCCUUGUGCGGGUCUGGCCGUGGGAAUUUAGUUAAACCUUACCAUUUAGAGGAAGGUGAAGUCGUAACA
rnacentral:rRNA from 1 species